UUCUUUUGCGUUUGCUUUAGUUCUGCUAAAGUCUCCUGUGUAUGAUCCUCAGAAAGACAUAUGAGGGUUUUCCUCAGAACCUAAAUUCUAAACUGCCAGACUGUCUUCUGAAGUGGCUAUAAUAUUUACACUCCCAUCAGCAGUGUAGAAGGGGUCUCACUAUGUUGUCUGGAGUGCUGUGGUGGAGUGGAGUGGCUAUUCACAGAGCCUGUUCUGCUGGGACACAGAAUCACUUGCUCCAUCUCAUACAUUGAUGAUGAUUAAUUUGUAUGUGUACCUUCCAAAAAAGAUGGUUGUGUUUGAAUGGAGGCCUUCUGGACAGGAAAAUUGCAAAGUACAAUUAACAUUUGAGUCUGUCUGAGUCAUGAAGAAAUGGAGAUUACUGAAAAUAAUUCAUUUUGGUAUCUUCUUACAUCCUGAGAGACUAAUCUUUCCAAGUUCAUCUGAGGCUCCUCUUCUCCAUGACAACCUCAUCCAGGGAUUUCUUCCUGUCCUGGUGUUUUAUGACAUCAUCCUCAUCUCGCUUGUAAGGAUAAUAGCCUUCCUCCAAACCUCACACACUUUUGGAGGAGAUCACUUUUUUUAAAGUGCAUGGAAAUGUUUUGAAACAGUGAAAUCUAUAAUGAUAGGUUUCAUAAUUCUAACAUCCACACCAUAUGAAUCACAUCCUUCCUGAGAUAAUGAGCACACAAUUGCCUGGAUACCUGAAGGAAUGGAGACAGCGGCAGAAAACACUGCAGAGAGGUGGAAACAUCCGUUAAUAUUUUAAAAUCCCAUUACUGCUACCAACAAUAAUAAUGGAUGCAUAGAAAUAGAUCUGGAUUAGCUGAGCUUGAAACAGUCCAUCUCACACACACACAAAAGAAUUUCAGAUACAGUGAACCCACAUGUUGAAGCUUUCUAGUAUAAUAAAAAUUUCAACUGUUCUGUUGAAUCAUCUGCCUGAUUGGAGGCUACAGAAAAGAUGUCAUCUUAGGAGUGCUUGCUCUGAGUGAGGCUCAUCUUCAAAUCUGAAUGACCACAAGGAGAUUUGAUUAUACAUGUGAACACCUCAGAAGGCACAGCCCACCCAGAAGGCAGACAGGUCAGGCUGCUUUUUCUUCAUUGCUUGGAUUCAAUCCUCCGGGCGGCUCAGGCUCAAACAUAACUUAAGCAUGAUUAAACUUUAGAAGAAGCUGCCAGGAAGACUGUGAAAUCUUCAUGCCCAAGGAUCCCUAAAAUUAGGAGCAACAACCACUUGGCUCAGACGGUUUAUGGAGGCAAAGGUUUGGAUGGGAUUAGAGAUUUCUAAAUGUGAGUUCGUGUCCUCUGCCAGACCACCUUACUUCCACCAUUCCUCAGCAAAUCAAGAAAAACAGGAGAAAAGACAUGCCUUUCCAUAAGUUAAAUCUAUUCUGUUUUAAUUCUAUAUUAUAUCUGCUGUACAACUUCUUUUGUUUGUAACACCAUAUUGUUGCUAGUAACUGGAAAUUAAUUUUCACAUGCCUCAGCUUAGAAAAAUAAAAAGCAGCCCUGCAUCAAUCCCAAU
rnacentral:lncRNA from 1 species